UGCCUUCAAGAUUAAGCUCUGGAAACGUAUCCAACGUGUUUUAUGGAAUCAUAUUUGAUGCUGGAAGCACGGGGACACGCAUUCACAUCUACACUUUUGGUCAGAAGAGUCCUGAACCCCCUCAAUUGUUCAGUGAAAUCUUUGAAUCAGUAAAACCUGGUCUGUCAGCUUAUGUAGAUGACCCUGAACAGGGUGCAGAGACUGUGCGUGGACUGCUGGAUGUGGCAAAGCAGACAAUACCUUCAACACACUGGUAUACCACCCCAGUGGUACUGAAAGCCACAGCAGGACUACGACUGCUUCCCAAGCAGAAAGCACAAGCUUUGCUAUUGGAGAUCCAGGAACUUUUUGAGGAUUCCCCUUUUCUAGUACCAGAUGACUGUGUUAGUAUCAUGAAUGGUACAUACGAAGGU